CCAAUGCGCACACCGUGGGCGGGCUCCGGGCCGGAAUUGGGGGUGAAGCUUCAGUGUCGUGCCAACAUUCGGGACUCAGGGAGCUGAGGGGUCCCUGGGGGGCGCCCGGAGCUAAGAUGGCGUCUGCUGCUGAGGGGGACGUGGGAACCGUGACAGAGCUGGCAAGGGUGCUGCGGUGGGGUGUGGAGGAGCUGAGCUUUAACAAGUUGGCGACGUCUCUGGGCGCGUCAGAACAGGCGCUGCGGCUCAUCAUCUCCAUCUUCCUGGGUUACCCCUUGGCUUUGUUUUAUCGGCAUUACCUUUUCUACAAGGACAGCUACCUCAUCCACCUCUUCCACACCUUUACAGGCCUCUUCAUUGCUUAUUUUAACUUUGGAAACCAGCUGUACCACUCCCUGCUAUGUGUCAUCCUUCAGUUCCUCAUCCUGCGACUAAUGGGCCGCACCAUCACUGCCGUUCUCACUACCUUUUGUUUCCAGAUGGCCUACCUUCUUGCCGGAUAUUAUAAUACAGCCACUGACAACUAUGAUAUCAAGUGGACAAUGCCUCACUGUGUUCUGACCUUGAAACUGAUUGGUUUGGCUGUUGACUACUUUGACGGAGGGAAAGAUCAGAAUUCCUUGUCCUCUGAGCAACAGAAAUAUGCCAUACGGGGUGUCCCUUCGCUGCUGGAAGUUGCUGGUUUCUCCUACUUCUAUGGGGCCUUCCUGGUAGGGCCCCAGUUCUCAAUGAACCACUACAUGAAGCUGGUGCACAGACAGCUGACUGACAUACCAGGGGUGGUACCAAACAGCACGGUACCUGCUCUCAAGCGCCUGAGUCUGGGCCUUAUCUACCUGGUGGGCUACGUUCUGCUCAGUCCCCACAUCACAGAAAACUAUCUCCUCACCGACGACUAUGAAAACCGCCUUUUCUGGUUCCGCUGCAUGUACAUGCUGAUCUGGGGCAAGUUUGUGCUGUACAAAUAUGUCACCUGUUGGCUGGUCACAGAAGGAGUAUGCAUUUUGACGGGGCUGGGCUUCAAUGACUUUGAUGAAAAUGGAAAGGCAAAAUGGGAUGCCUGCGCUAACAUGAAGGUGUGGCUCUUUGAAACAACCCCCCGCUUCACCGGCACCAUCGCCUCUUUCAACAUCAACACCAAUGCCUGGGUGUCCCGUUACUUCUUCAAACGACUCAAGUUCCUUGGGAAUAAAGAACUAUCCCAGGGUCUCUCAUUGCUAUUCUUGGCCCUCUGGCAUGGCCUACACUCAGGAUACCUGGUCUGCUUCCAGAUGGAAUUCCUCAUUGUUAUCGUGGAAAGACAGGCUGCCAGCCUAAUUCAAGACAGCCCAACCCUGAGCAACCUCGCUUCCAUUACUGUCCUACAACCUUUUUACUACUUGGUGCAGCAAACCAUCCACUGGCUCUUCAUGGGUUACUCAAUGACUGCCUUCUGCCUCUUCACAUGGGACAAAUGGCUUAAGUGGCCCGUCUCUCUCCACAGGUGUAUAAAUCUGUCUAUUUCCUUGGUCAUGUUUUCUUCCUGAGCCUACUAUUCAUAUUGCCUUAUCUUCACAAAGCAAUGGUGCCAAGGAAAGAGAAGUUAAAGAAAAUGGAAUAAUAACUUAUGUCCCUGGUGGCCUACAGCAAGACUGGUGCAGAAACAACUUGUUUCCCUUUCGACACUCCUUCACCCUAGAGCACAGAGAACACAGAAGCCAGGGAGUGGGAAGACAUGGCACUCCCAGCUGUGCCUCUGCUGACUGCCAAGUCUUCAUUUGGGCCAAAGGGGAAAUUCUUGUGGGAGGAGCAGAGGGGCCCAUGUCUCCCCUCUUGGCUCCCCCAUGCACGUUGCCUUAUCUCUCCCCCUCUAGCCAGGAAUCUGUUCUGUUUUUCUUCUGCCAAUUUACUAUGAUUGUAUAUGUGCCACCACCACUCCCCCCAUGGGGGGGUUGGGAGGGACACAAGGCCCUGCCUGCUCCACUUUUU